UGGGGGAUAUUGCACAAUGGGCGAAAGCCUGAUGCAGCGACGCCGCGUGGGGGAUGAAGGCCUUCGGGUUGUAAACUUCUUUUGCUCUGAACAAGGCAUGCCUUUGGGGUGUGUUGAGUGUAGGGGUUGAUUAGCGCCGGCUAACUACGUGCCAGCAGCCGCGGUAAUACGUAGGGCGCGAGCGUUGUCCGGAAUUAUUGGGCGUUAAGGGCUUGUAGGUGGCUGGUUGCGUCUGUCGUGAAAGCUCAUGGCUUAACUGUGGGUUUGCGGUGGGUACGGGCUGGCUUGAGUGCAGUAGGGGAGGCUGGAAUUCCUGGUGUAGCGGUGGAAUGCGCAGAUAUCAGGAGGAAUACCGGUGGCGAAGGCGGGUCUCUGGGCUGUUACUGACGCUGAGGAGCGAAAGCGUGGGGAGCGAACAGG
rnacentral:rRNA from 1 species